rnacentral:rRNA from 1 species
AACGCCGGCGGCAGGCCUAACACAUGCAAGUCGAGCGAGCAUUUCGGUGCUAGCGGCGGACGGGUUAGUAACGCGUGGGAACGUGCCCUUUGCUACGGAAUAGUCCUGGGAAACUGGGGGUAAUACCGUAUGUGCCCUUCGGGGGAAAGAUUUAUCGGCAAAGGAUCGGCCCGCGUUGGAUUAGGUAGUUGGUGGGGUAAUGGCCUACCAAGCCGACGAUCCAUAGCUGGUUUGAGAGGAUGAUCAGCAACACUGGGACUGAGACACGGCCCAGACUCCUACGGGAGGCGGCAGUGGGGAAUCUUAGACAAUGGGCGCAAGCCUGAUCUAGCCAUGCCGCGUGGACGAUGAAGGCCUUAGGGUUGUAAAGUCCUUUCAGCUGGGAAGAUAAUGACGGUACCAGCAGAAGAAGCCCCGGCUAACUCCGUG